CUAAAGAAGCUUCUUCUUUAACAAUGAAGUUCGGCUUAAUAUCUGCAGGAAACAUUGAAACACAUUAUGAACAUUAGUAAGUAUUUUUAGCUCAGCCUGAACUGAGACUCAUUUUUAUGAAACAUGCCUGUGCAAAUUCUGAGUUAUCCAAGGUAAUCACAACAGCAACCAGACUUUCAUUCAGUUCUUUCAGAAAGAGCUGAAUGAAUUCCGGUUGCCUUCAAUUUAAACCUGUUUAACAUGUUGUUGAGGAUAUAUUAAGGUAAUUUAGUUAGAUCCACUUUUUAUUUCAAUGCUACUUUUUCUUUUUAUUUAUUUUGCAUUGCUGUUUCUUAUCUCUUGUUUGUUUACAGUUCCUUGCUAAAGUAUUCAUCCACUUGGAAUUCAUCAUGUUCUGUUGCCCCAAAACCUGCCAAGUGAAAUGGACUUUUUUGGCCUAGUGGUUAGAGCAUUAUGCUUGUGUCCCAGAGGUUCUGGGUUCAACUCCCACAAACUGCGACUCUGGGUCCCUGAGCAAGACCCUCAACCCAAGAUUGCUCUCCAGACACCGCACAAUGGCAGCCCACUGCUCCCCAAGGGGAUGGGUUAAAUGCAGAGAACAAAUUUUAUUGGAAUUACAACACAACUGUGGGCUGCUGAGGGUACCCAGUCUGAGCCAGGACCGAGCAGUAAUCAGCAGGACCAUGGAGCAAGUGUCGAGACUGGUCUAGACUUCCCGCUGCUCAUCCCAGCCCAGCCCUGGAGGUGAUGGAGUCAAGCCAAAUAACAUACAGUGGCAGUGUGGCACAAUGGUCUUACUGACUGGGAGGUGGAUGCAAGAAUCACAUAAUGGCUAAAAAACUUUCCAGACCACAACAGUGGGAGAAACAACAUGAAGGAGAGAUUGAAGGAUCAGCAAAAUGGAAAAAAA